GGGCCGGUAGUCUAGGGGCUAUGACGCCGCCCUUACACGGCGGAGGUCGUGGGUUCGAAUCCCACCCGGCCCA
rnacentral:tRNA from 1 species